UGCAAGUCGAGCGGAUGAAGAGAGCUUGCUCUCUGAUUCAGCGGCGGACGGGUGAGUAAUGCCUAGGAAUCUGCCUGAUAGUGGGGGACAACGUUUCGAAAGGAACGCUAAUACCGCAUACGUCCUAAGGGAGAAAGCAGGGGACCUUCGGGCCUUGCGCUAUCAGAUGAGCCUAGGUCGGAUUAGCUAGUUGGUGAGGUAAUGGCUCACCAAGGCGACGAUCCGUAACUGGUCUGAGAGGAUGAUCAGUCACACUGGAACUGAGACACGGUCCAGACUCCUACGGGAGGCAGCAGUGGGGAAUAUUGGACAAUGGGCGAAAGCCUGAUCCAGCCAUGCCGCGUGUGUGAAGAAGGUCUUCGGAUUGUAAAGCACUUUAAGUUGGGAGGAAGGGCAUUAACCUAAUACGUUAGUGUUUUGACGUUACCGACAGAAUAAGCACCGGCUAACUUCGUGCCAGCAGCCGCGGUAAUACGAAGGGUGCAAGCGUUAAUCGGAAUUACUGGGCGUAAAGCGCGCGUAGGUGGUUUGUUAAGUUGAAUGUGAAAGCCCCGGGCUCAACCUGGGAACUGCAUCCAAAACUGGCAAGCUAGAGUAUGGCAGAGGGUGGUGGAAUUUCCUGUGUAGCGGUGAAAUGCGUAGAUAUAGGAAGGAACACCAGUGGCGAAGGCGACCACCUGGGCUAAUACUGACACUGAGGUGCGAAAGCGUGGGGAGCAAACAGGAUUAGAUACCUGGUAGUCCACGCCGUAAACGAUGUCGACUAGCCGUUGGGAUCCUUGAGAUCUUAGUGGCGCAGCUAACGCAUUAAGUCGACCGCCUGGGGAGUACGGCCGCAAGGUUAAAACUCAAAUGAAUUGACGGGGGCCCGCACAAGCGG
rnacentral:rRNA from 2 species